UGGGGAAUAUUGCACAAUGGGCGCAAGCCUGAUGCAGCCAUGCCGCGUGUAUGAAGAAGGCCUUCGGGUUGUAAAGUACUUUCAGCGGGGAGGAAGGGAGUAAAGUUAAUACCUUUACUCAUUGACGUUACCCGCAGAAGAAGCACCGGCUAACUCCGUGCCAGCAGCCGCGGUAAUACGGAGGGUGCAAGCGUUAAUCGGAAUUACUGGGCGUAAAGCGCACGCAGGCGGUUUGUUAAGUCAGAUAUGAAAUCCCCGGGCUCAACCUGGGAACUGCAUCUGAUACUGGCAAGCUUGAGUCUCGUAGAGGGGGGUAGAAUUCCAGGUGUAGCGGUGAAAUGCGUAGAGAUCUGGAGGAAUACCGGUGGCGAAGGCGGCCCCCUGGACGAAGACUGACGCUCAGGUGCGAAAGCGUGGGGAGCAAACAGG
rnacentral:rRNA from 1 species